rnacentral:rRNA from 1 species
UACAGAGGUCUCAAGCGUUGUUCGGAAUCACUGGGCGUAAAGGGUGCGUAGGCGGCGCGGAAAGUCAGAUGUGAAAUCCGGAGGCUCAACCUCCGAAUUGCAUCCGAUACUACCGCGCUAGAGAUUUGUAGAGGAGCUUGGAAUUCUCGGUGUAGCAGUGAAAUGCGUAGAUAUCGAGAAGAACGCUCGCAGCGAAGGCGAAGCUCUGGGCAAAUUCUGACGCUGAUGCACGAAGGCUAGGGGAGCAAACGGG